rnacentral:sRNA from 1 species
UACCUAAACUCUCUAAAAAAGAGAGCAUGGCGAAAAAACCUACACAAGGGGCGAGAGCUCCUCGUCAGAAACCUUGUGUAGGUCAUAUCUCGAAAGGGGUAUGGGUAUUUUAACAACAAAUCCC